rnacentral:rRNA from 2 species
GCCGGCUGCUAGCUCUCUGCAACUCUCACAUGGUCGCCCACUGAAGCUAAGCAGGGCCUCUCCUGAUCAGUACCUGGAUGGGAGACCACAUGGGAAAACUAGGUUGCUUCCGGAA